UACGAACUGUGCAAACGUUAUUCGGAUUCACUGGGCUUAAAGGGUGCGUAGGCGGCCAUGUAAGUAGGGUGUGAAAUCCCCCGGCUUAACCGGGGAACUGCGCCCUAAACUGUGUGGCUGGAGUGAGAUAGGGGUGUGUGGAACUUCCGGUGGAGCGGUGAAAUGCGUAGAUAUCAAGUGGAACACCAGUGGCGAAGGCGAGUCUCUGGACAUUUCCUGACGCUGAGGCACGAAAGCCAGGGGAGCAAACGGG
rnacentral:rRNA from 1 species